GCGCGUGUAGCUCAGAUGGUUAGAGCGCUGGUUUUACACACCAGCGGCCGGGGGUUCGAAUCCCUCCACGCGCA
rnacentral:tRNA from 1 species